GUGGGGAAUCUUCCGCAAUGGACGAAAGUCUGACGGAGCGACGCCGCGUGAGUGAAGAAGGCCUUCGGGUCGUAAAGCUCUGUCAUCAGGGACGAACGGCCGGUGGAGUGGAAAGCCACCGGAUUGACGGUACCAGAGAAGGAAGCCACGGCUAACUACGUGCCAGCAGCCGCGGUAAUACGUAGGUGGCAAGCGUUGUCCGGAAUUAUUGGGCGUAAAGCGCGCGCAGGUGGGAUCUUAAGUCCAUUUUUAAAGUUCGGAGCUCAACUCCGUGAUGGGAUGGAAACUGGGAUUCUUGAGUACCGGAGAGGAAAGCGGAAUUCCCCGUGUAGCAGUGAAAUGCGUAGAUAUGGGGAGGAACACCAGUGGCGAAGGCGGCUUUCUGGACAUUAACUGACGCUGAGGCGCGAAAGCGUGGGGAGCAAACAGGAUUAGAUACCCCUGUAGUCC
rnacentral:rRNA from 1 species